GUCGCCUGUUUAUCAAAAACAUCGCCUCUUGAACUUUAUAAGAGGUCCAGCCUGCCCAGUGACUCUGUUCAACGGCCGCGGUAUCCUAACCGUGCGAAGGUAGCGUAAUCACUUGUUCUUUAAAUGUGGACUAGUAUGAAUGGCACUACGAGGGUUACACUGUCUCCUUUCUCUAAUCAGUGAAACUAAUUUUCCCGUGAAGAAGCGGGAAUACACCUAUAAGACGAGAAGACCCUAUGGAGCUUUAAACAAUCCAGCAAUUACUUUUUAAAUUAUAAAUUUCAGAAUGUUCAUUUUUUAAGUAAUGUGACUGCAAGUUUUUGGUUGGGGUGACCAUGGAGAAUAACACAACCUCCAUAUUGAAUGAAUUUUAUUUUAAGCUAAAAAUUACUUAUUAAAGCAUCAACACACUGACAUUUAUUGACCCAAUAUAUUUGAUCAACGAACCAAGUUACCCUAGGGAUAACAGCGCAAUCCACUUCAAGAGCCCCUAUCGACAAGUGGGUUUACGACCUCGAUGUUGGAUCAGGGUAUCCCAGUGGCGCAGCCGCUACUAAAGGUUCGUUUGUUCAACGAUUUAAAACCCUACGUGAUCUGAGUU
rnacentral:rRNA from 1 species